rnacentral:rRNA from 1 species
AAAUGAAUUGACGGGGACCCGCACAAGCAGCGGAGCAUGUGGUUUAAUUCGAAGCAACGCGAAGAACCUUACCAGGUCUUGACAUCUAGGUAAAACCUGAGAGAUUAGGCGUGCCCUUCGGGGCGAUCUAAGACAGGUGGUGCAUGGUUGUCGUCAGCUCGUGUCGUGAGAUGUUGGGUUAAGUCCCGCAACGAGCGCAACCCUUGUUUUUAGUUACUAACGCGUAAAGGCGAGGACUCUAAAGAGACUGCCGGGGACAACUCGGAGGAAGGUGGGGACGACGUCAAAUCAUCAUGCCCCUUAUGACCUGGGCUACACACGUGCUACAAUGGCCACUACAGAGAGGAGCAAAGCCGCAAGGUGGAGCAGAUCUCAAAAAAGUGGUCCCAGUUCGGAUUGUGGGCUGCAACCCGCCCACAUGAAGUCGGAGUUGCUAGUAAUCGCGGAUCAGCAUGCCGCGGUGAAUACGUUCCCGGGUCUUGUACACACCGCCCGU